rnacentral:lncRNA from 1 species
GAGCAGGAGACCCUAACUUCCUGGCUCCCGCACUCCCCAGGCGCACCACAUUUCAGCACGACGGACAGCGCAGCACUGGGGCGCGACUGGGGAGGCGGGGACCAAUACCACGCUGUUUCAGCCCGGCUUUUUCAAAUCUCUCGGGUCUCCGCCCUCAUUUCCGUGCAUUUUCGAAACGACUCUCACAGCAACCGAAGCCACAAAAACACAUUCACAGAAAACGGGGAAGCUCCAGGGUUCGCUUACCGUCUGACAAGUCAAUCAGUCCGAGGCAAUUUCUCCAAAGGUUUAACCAGUCCCUAAUCUUCUGCUAGCUGAGUGUAACC